rnacentral:rRNA from 1 species
UACAGGGGUGCAAACGUUGCUCGGAAUCAUUGGGCGUAAAGCGCACGUAGGCGGUUCGUUAUGUCGGAUGUGAAAGCCCUUGGCUUAACCGAGGAAGUGCAUCCGAAACUGGCGAGCUAGAGUACUAAAGAGGAUCGCGGAAUUCCCGGUGUAGAGGUGAAAUUCGUAGAUAUCGGGAGGAACACCGGUGGCGAAGGCGGCGCGCUGGAUCCCUACUGACGCUGAGGCACGAAAGCCAGGGGAGCAAACGGGAGUUAGA